GCGGUAUCCUGACCGUGCAAAGGUAGCAUAAUCAUUUGCCUCUUAAUUAGUGGCUAGUAUGAAUGGACAAACGAGAAUUCCCCUGUCUCUAUAAAGCCAAUGAAAAUUAAUCUUCAGGUGAAGAAGCCUGAAUCUCAUUAAAAGACAAAAAGACCCUAUUGAGCUUACAUUCAAUCUCUAAAAUAUUAAAAUAAAAUAAAACUACCCUUUUUACAAGAAUUUUGCUGGGGCGGCAAAGGAACAACCAAAAAUUCCUUUUCUCAAAGACUUAUAAGUCUAUUAACUGAUCCGUAUUAACGAUUAACAAAACUAGUUACCAUAGGGAUAACAGGCUAAUUUUUCUCUAAAGCUCACAUUAACAGAAAAGAUUGGCACCU
rnacentral:rRNA from 1 species